rnacentral:rRNA from 1 species
UACGGAGGGGGCUAGCGUUGUUCGGAAUUACUGGGCGUAAAGCGUACGUAGGCGGCUUGGUAAGUUAGAGGUGAAAGCCUGGAGCUCAACUCCAGAAUUGCCUUUAAGACUGCCGAGCUAGCAGGUGAGAGAGGUGAGUGGAAUUCCGAGUGUAGAGGUGAAAUUCGUAGAUAUUCGGAAGAACACCAGUGGCGAAGGCGGCUCACUGGCUCAUACUGGACGCUGAGGUGCGAAAGCGUGGGGAGCAAACAGG